GCCUUUGUAGUCUAACUAGUAAGGACGCUUACAUGGAAUGAAAGAGAUCCGGGUUCGACUCCCGGCCGAGGUA
rnacentral:tRNA from 1 species